UACAGAGACUGCAAGCGUUAUUCGGAUUCACUGGGCGUAGAGGGUGCGCAGGCGGCCAAGUGUGUUAGGCGUGAAAGCCCGGGGCUUAACCCCGGAAUUGCACCUAAAACUACAUGGCUAGAGCAUUGGAGAGGGUAGCGGAAUUCACGGUGUAGCAGUGAAAUGCGUAGAUAUCGUGAGGAACACCAGAGGCGAAGGCGGCUACCUGGACAAUUGCUGACGCUCAGGCACGAAAGCGUGGGGAGCAAAAGGG
rnacentral:rRNA from 1 species